AAAUAGGCAGCAAAGCUGACAGCGAACAGAGCAGAGGGGACACAUGUCUUUCCUCCUGCUUCCAUGGGGCUGCCUGUGCACUUUUACCUUGGGUGAGCAGAGCGGAUGUAUGUGUGUGUGAGCAUAUGUGUCAGUCUGUCUGUGAGUUUGUUAAACGCUACAAGGCCACAGUUGGUUGAAAAGGCUUGGAACUUCUCAAACUGGCUUUACUUUUCCUUUCUACAGUGCUCAGGGUUAACACAGUACAUCCUUGUCAUGACUGUGGGAGUUCCCCGAAUGCAUGUGUUUCAAGUCUAAAUACUGAAUAUAUAUAUUGGUUUAUUUUCCAACUUAAACAAUGUCUCCUACAGCAUGAAGUGAAGGGUUGCGUUGCGUGCCAUGCAUUCAGGUUCAUUUGUAGCUUUUGUUGACGGUGCAUGUCUUUGAAAGCAUGUGUAAUCAAGAUUACCACAGAAGUCACAUAUGGAGAGAAACAUUGGACAUGUACAGCAUUGGGUUUUGCAUUUCUAGUGUUGAUACCUGGGUGUUGCUUCUAGCCCUCAACCCUGCCCGCUCCUCCCUGACCCAAGUUUCUUGUUAAAGUAGUAAGUGCAUACUUUUUUUUUGUGAUAAAACUCUUUAAAAGUUCAUUUUAAUAUGUUAAUAGUAUUCCUAAUUUGUGCUGCAAACAUGGCUCUGAGCCUUAUCAUAAGUUACGUUUUCCUUAACUUAAGCAUAGUUUUAGGAAGAAAUAUGAUUGGCUUCUGUCUUACACACAAUCUUUUCUACUUCAUUAUCUGACUCUGCUUUGUUAUUCGAACCGGAAACCGUACUUGAGUUGUAAACUAGACAGUGAGAAACACUUGGCUUCUUUCUGCUGUAUGAUGUUCUCGUUACCCAGUAACUUGAAUAUUGUUUAAUGUGCUGUAAGACAUUGUUGAGAUUAUCUCCGCUGUUUAAAAUGCUAAUGUACAAAUGUGAAUAGACACUUAUCUAUAACAUGGGUAAGUUUUGUUUCGCCUAUAAUAGAUGUUUAUAAAAAAAAUUGAGUGAGGGGACAAUUGGUCUUUUGGUUUUUAUCUCCUUACCUCCCCUUCCCCAAAUUUUUUCUCCCCUCUCCCCUCCCCCCUUUUUUGCUUGUACAGGUUGCACUAUUAAAAAAUUGAGAUUGUAUAAAUCUGGUUUAAAACUACAAGACAACAAAGUCUUGUAGAUGUUGAAUAAAAAAGUUAUUAUACUAAAAAAAAAAAAAAAAA
rnacentral:lncRNA from 1 species